AGAGUUUGAUCCUGGCUCAGGACGAACGCUGGCGGCGUGCUUAACACAUGCAAGUCGAACGGUGACCCUGGAGCUUGCUCCGGGCGAUCAGUGGCGAACGGGUGAGUAACACGUGAGUAACCUGCCCCAGACUCUGGGAUAACCUCGGGAAACCGGGGCUAAUACCGGAUACGAGACGCUCGGGCAUCCGAAGCGUCUGGAAAGAUUUAUCGGUCUGGGAUGGACUCGCGGCCUAUCAGCUUGUUGGUGAGGUAACGGCUCACCAAGGCGACGACGGGUAGCCGGCCUGAGAGGGCGACCGGCCACACUGGAACUGAGACACGGUCCAGACUCCUACGGGAGGCAGCAGUGGGGAAUAUUGCACAAUGGGCGCAAGCCUGAUGCAGCAACGCCGCGUGGGGGAUGAAGGCCUUCGGGUUGUAAACCCCUUUUAGCAGGGAAGAAGCGAAAGUGACGGUACCUGCAGAAAAAGCGUCGGCUAACUACGUGCCAGCAGCCGCGGUAAUACGUAGGACGCAAGCGUUGUCCGGAAUUAUUGGGCGUAAAGAGCUCGUAGGCGGUUUGUCGCGUCUGCUGUGAAAAUCCGAGGCUCAACCUCGGACCUGCAGUGGGUACGGGCAGACUAGAGUGUGGUAGGGGAGACUGGAAUUCCUGGUGUAGCGGUGGAAUGCGCAGAUAUCAGGAGGAACACCAAUGGCGA
rnacentral:rRNA from 1 species